AAGGCUGAUACAAUGAAAGGUGGA
rnacentral:siRNA from 1 species